rnacentral:rRNA from 1 species
UGGGGAAUAUUGGACAAUGGGCGCAAGCCUGAUCCAGCCAUGCCGCGUGAGUGAUGAAGGCCCUAGGGUUGUAAAGCUCUUGCACCGGUGAAGAUAAUGACGGUAACCGGAGAAGAAGCCCCGGCUAACUUCGUGCCAGCAGCCGCGGUAAUACGAAGGGGGCUAGCGUUGUUCGGAUUUACUGGGCGUAAAGCGCACGUAGGCGGACUAUUAAGUCAGGGGUGAAAUCCCGGGGCUCAACCCCGGAACUGCCUUUGAUACUGGUAGUCUUGAGUUCGAGAGAGGUGAGUGGAAUUCCGAGUGUAGAGGUGACAUUCGUAGAUAUUCGGAGGAACACCAGUGGCGAAGGCGGCUCACUGGCUCGAUACUGACGCUGAGGUGCGAAAGCGUGGGGAGCAAACAGG